UUGUUGUUAUCGUUUUCAUGAGAAUAAUUAUUGAGGCUCUUUAGGUAAAGGGUUUUGAUAUCGUUUUAUUCAUAACUAGUCCGAGUUUAUCAUUUUGUUA
rnacentral:misc_RNA from 1 species